CUGAAAAAUUAUUUUAAACAGGGAAGUAUACAAUACGACGAGAAUAUGCUCAACGAAUCAAUAAUGGCUCAACAACAAAUGUCAGAGUAGCACAACAAAAUUAAUAUUUCAUCAAAGACCUCAUACCAGGUCUUUCCUGAUACAUUACUAGUUAUCGGCCUCAUCCACGUCUCCAAGCUCUCGGCUUUUCCGGUCCUUAGUGGAACUAUUGGCGGAUCCACUCAGUACAUGUACCAUUCAAUUCCAUAGCAUUUAGCCAUCAAACAAUAAC
rnacentral:lncRNA from 1 species